CAAGCUCGCCUCUCUGGGUCUG
rnacentral:miRNA from 1 species